ncrna:unclassified sequences DTF3800-VII RNA
GAAAGAAUCUCGCCGGAGCACACGAGGGUGAUUCACCAGCACGCAUAGCGUGUGGUAGUCGUGCCGGGUGGUUCUUUCUUUUU